rnacentral:piRNA from 1 species
GAUGAAGGCCUUUAUGAUGAUCCACUUC